GAUGAACGCUAGCUACAGGCUUAACACAUGCAAGUCGCGGGGCAGCAUGUCGGUUGCUUGCAACCGAUGAUGGCGACCGGCGCACGGGUGAGUAACGCGUAUCCAACCUGCCCUUCACCACGGAAUAACCCAGUGAAAAUUGGUCUAAUACCGUAUGAGGUCAUACGAUGGCACCAGAAGAUGACGAAAGGUUUGGCGGUGAAGGAUGGGGAUGCGUCUGAUUAGAUGGUUGGUGAGGUAACGGAUGACCAAGGCGACGAUCAGUAGGGGUUCUGAGAGGAAGGUCCCCCACAUUGGAACUGAGACACGGUCCAAACUCCUACGGGAGGCAGCAGUGAGGAAUAUUGGUCAAUGGGCGAGAGCCUGAACCAGCCAAGUAGCGUGCAGGAAGACGGCCCUAUGGGUUGUAAACUGCUUUUAUAUGGGGAUAAAGUGAGCUACGUGUAGUUUAUUGCAGGUACCAUAUGAAUAAGGACCGGCUAAUUCCGUGCCAGCCGCCGCCGUAA
rnacentral:rRNA from 1 species